rnacentral:rRNA from 1 species
AAUGAACGCUGGCGGCAGGCCUAACACAUGCAAGUCGAACGGGUCCUUCGGGACUAGUGGCGGACGGGUGAGUAACGCGUGGGAACGUGCCCCUUGGUACGGAAUAGCCCCGGGAAACUGGGAGUAAUACCGUAUGUGGUCGAGAGACGAAAGAUUUAUCGCCAAGGGAUCGGCCCGCGUUGGAUUAGGUAGUUGGUGGGGUAAUGGCCUACCAAGCCGACGAUCCAUAGCUGGUUUGAGAGGAUGAUCAGCCACACCGGGACUGAGACACGGCCCAGACUCCUACGGGAGGCAGCAGUGGGGAAUCUUAGACAAUGGGGGGAAACCCCUGAUCUAGCCAUGCCGCGUGAUCGAUGAAGGCCUUAGGGUUGUAAGGAUCUUUCAGGUGGGAAGAUAAUAGACUGUACCACCAGAAGAAGACCCCGGCUAACUACCGUG